UAGGGAAUCUUCCACAAUGGACGCAAGUCUGAUGGAGCAACGCCGCGUGAGUGAAGAAGGUUUUCGGACCGUAAAGCUCUGUUGUUGGUGAAGAAGGAUAGAGGUAGUAACUGGCCUUUAUUUGACGGUAAUCAACCAGAAAGUCACGGCUAACUACGUGCCAGCAGCCGCGGUAAUACGUAGGUGGCAAGCGUUGUCCGGAUUUAUUGGGCGUAAAGCGAGCGCAGGCGGAAGAAUAAGUCUGAUGUGAAAGCCCUCGGCUUAACCGAGGAAUUGCAUCAGAAACUGUUUUCUUGAGUGUAGA
rnacentral:rRNA from 1 species